GCAGCAGCCGCGGUAAGACAGAGGUGGCAAGCGUUGUUCGGAAUUACUGGGCUUAAAGGGCGCGUAGGCGGUUGUGCAAGUCUGAGGUGGAAUCCCGGGGCUUAACCCCGGGGCUGCCUUGGAAACUGCAUGACUUGAGUAAGCGAGGGGAGGGCGGAAUUCCCGGUGUAGCGGUGAAAUGCGUAGAUAUCGGGAGGAAGGCCGGUGGCGAAGGCGGCCCUCUGGCGCUUAACUGACGCUGAGGCGCGAAAGCGUGGGUAGCAAACAGGAUUAGAUACCCUGGUAGUCCACGCCCUAAACGGUGGGUACUAGGUGUGGGGCUCGCAAGGGUUCCGUGCCGAAGGGAAACCAUUAAGUACCCCGCCUGGGGAGUACGGCCGCAAGGUUGAAACUUAAAGGAAUUGGCGGGGGAU
rnacentral:rRNA from 1 species